rnacentral:rRNA from 1 species
UUGGGAAUCUUGCGCAAUGGGGGAAACCCUGACGCAGCGACGCCGCGUGCGGGAUGACGGCCUUCGGGUCGUAAACCGCUUUUCCCAGGGACGAUAAUGACGGUACCUGGGGAAUCAGCCCCGGCUAACUCCGUGCCAGCAGCCGCGGUAAGACGGAGGGGGCUAGCGUUGUCCGGAAUUACUGGGCGUAAAGCGCUCGUAGGCGGUCGCGUACGGCGGUGGUGAAAGCUCCCGGCUCAACUGGGAGAGGCCCGCCGCAACGGCGUGACUCGAGGGUGGUAGAGGCAAAUGGAAUUCCAGGUGUAGCGGUGAAAUGCGUAGAGAUCUGGAGGAACACCCGUGGCGAAGGCGGUUUGCUGGGCCAUGCCUGACGCUGAGGAGCGAAAGCUAGGGGAGCGAACGG